rnacentral:ncRNA from 2 species
UAGUUUCAUAAAGCGCCUGGACUGCAAGUCGAUGCAGUUGACGAGGAGGAGGUUCAUCGAACGUCGGCGGAUGCUCCCGGUUGUUUUGUCACAACCGAAAGUCAUUGACUGAAAACGAAGAGGUGACUCUUCGUACAAAAGCAAUGACCAUGACAGU